AUUGAACGCUGGCGGCAUGCCUUACACAUGCAAGUCGAACGUGAAAGCGGGGCAACCCGCAAGUAGAGUGGCGGACGGGUGAGUAAUACAUCGGAACGUGUCCAGUAAUGGGGGAUAACCUAGCGAAAGUUAGGCUAAUACCGCAUACGAUCUGCGGAUGAAAGCGGGGGAUGCGGCACUAAAGGCUUUUGGCGAAGGUGGCCAAAGGUGAGUCAAGAGCUUUUAGUGCNGCACCUCGCGUUAUUGGAGCGGCUGAUGUCUGAUUAGCUAGUUGGUGAGGUAAAGGCUUACCAAGGCGACGAUCAGUAGCUGGUCUGAGAGGACGGCCAGCCACACUGGGACUGAGACACGGCCCAGACUCCUACGGGAGGCAGCA
rnacentral:rRNA from 1 species